rnacentral:rRNA from 1 species
UACGGAGGGGACUAGCGUUGUUCGGAAUUACUGGGCGUAAAGCGCACGUAGGCGGAUUUGUAAGUCAGGGGUGAAAUCCCGGAGCUCAACUCCGGAACUGCCUUUGAUACUGGUAAUCUAGAGAUCGGAAGAGGUUAGUGGAAUUCCCAGUGUAGAGGUGAAAUUCGUAGAUAUUGGGAAGAACACCAGUGGCGAAGGCGGCUAACUGGUCCGAUACUGACGCUGAGGUGCGAAAGCGUGGGGAGCAAACAGG